rnacentral:misc_RNA from 1 species
UCCUGGUUAACCCAGGCAGUCUCAUUAGAGUUCCCACCUUAUAUGUUGGCAACUAAUGAUAAGGGUUGCGCUCGUUGCGGGACUUAACCCAACACCUCACGGCACGAGCUGACGACAGCCAUGCAGCACCUGUGCACAGACCCCGAAGGGAAACACCAUCUCUGAUGUCGUCCUGUGCAUGUCAAGCCUGGGUAAGGUUCUUCGCGUUGCAUCGAAUUAAACCACAUGCUCCACUGCUUGUGCGGGUCCCCGUCAAUUCUUUUGAGUUUCAGCCUUGCGACUGUACUCCCCAGGCGGUAUACUUAUCGCGUUAGCUGCGCCACCGAAACUCCAUGAGCCCCGACAGCUAGUCAUCAUCGUUUACGGCGUGGACUAC